rnacentral:rRNA from 1 species
UACGUGCGGGGCGAACGUUGUUCGGUGUCACUGGGCUUAAAGGGCGCGUAGGUGGCUGCGUAAGUAAGGUGUGAAAGCCCUCGGCUUACCCGGGGAAUUGCGCCUUAUACUGCGUGGCUUGAGGAUCUCAGGGGAAGGGGGAACUCCGAGUGUAGCGGUGAAAUGCGCAGAUAUUCGGGGGAAGGCCGGCGGCGAAGGCGCCCUUCUGGGAGAUUCCUGACACUGAGGCGCGAAAGCGUGGGGAGCAAACAGG